CCUAUAAGGUGUAUCUCCAGUGUCUCUCCAAGAUUUUACUUUAGGAAGCAUGCUUUCUGCUUCCUCCCUCUAGCCGCCAUCUUGGAAUUCUCUACCCCAUGAUAUACGGUCCCUUUCUACAAUGUUGGAGGUGAGGCUGGGCCUUGUGUCUGCACCUGCAUAUUCUUACAACUUCUCAGAGCCCUGUGGACAAUGACUACGAGACAAACCAUACAGGAAACAGUC
rnacentral:snoRNA from 1 species